CAUAGCGUCGCCCUCCGCCUCCGUCCCUAAACGGGUUGUGGGUGUUUGGGUUGGAUAUUGGCCUCCCGUGCGUCUCGGUGUGCGGCUGGCCUAAAUGUGAUUCGGCAUCGACGUAUGUCUCGACAAUUGGUGGUUGAAGACCUCAACUUUCGUUUUGUCGUGCUAGAUUGCGUUGCUCGGCUCGAAUGCGUUGACCCCGA
rnacentral:misc_RNA from 3 species